GUCAGCAGCCAAGUCACUGGCACUUCAGGCUAGAUAAUCCAUCUGAAACUAAGCAGGUUUGGGCCUGGCCAGUACCUGGAAGGGAAACCAACUAGAAAAUCCAGGUUGUUGCUGGAA
rnacentral:rRNA from 1 species